GGCAGAGGCAGCCCAGCCGCAAUGAGAGGGGAGCAUCCGGCCGCCCCAGGGAGGAGCUACAAUGCUGGGGGGAAAGGCCUCAGGCACAGGGACACGGAAGCAGCCUGGCCAUGUGGCUGUGCGAGAGGGAACAAAGGCCCCACUGAGCAGAAACUUCUGGGAAUAGAAGACAAGUAAAGCAAGACAGGCACAAUAGGGGCAAAGAGAAGAGAAAGUCCAAAUCACAGUGGAGAGGGAGAACAAACGGAGAACGUAUAAUAGAAAGUAAGCAGACAGAUGCUCACAGUUCUCACAGUCACCAGAAGAGAGUGCCCUUCAUACGUGAAAUCAGAAAACCUAGCCUCUCCCACCCUUCCACAAGUGCAGAAGGACGAAUCUCAUGGGAAAACCAGUUGACAAGAGGAUCAAAGACAAAUCCCGUACCAAGUUACUAAAAGAAAGAAGAGAAUAAGGAGCGGAAUAACAUCCCUCCAGGUGAAAAAAGCAUCCCGGAAAGACGUGCACAGAACAGGUGAAACUGUAAUCCUUUGUUUUAAAGCAAGCUACGGACCUUAAGAAAAUGAUUCAACACAUGAAAGAGAAACGUAAAUCAGAAUGUUAAAAAGCAACUCAGAAAUGAGGCGAGAGGCUCAGGAAAGCAUGGUAAAUUUGAAAAGGCCUGGGAAAGAAUUAUAAAUAAAAGAUUCUCUAAAUGUUCACACAUUAAGACCCUUUCAUAAAAGGCCCCCAAGAAUGAAUACCUACGGCAUAUAACGCCCUAAAUAGAAAAAGAAAAGAAGGGCGUAUGUUUAAAUGAAAAGAUGAAUGAAUAAAGAGAUGAAGAAGAUUUGAGAGAAAAAUGACAAAUACACAAGGCAGGCAACAUGAAUCUAGCAUGCAUGUAAUAGGAGUCCCCAAAGACAAAAACCAAAGCAACAGAAAAGAGGAAGGGCUAAAAUGUGUAAUUCAGAAUAAAUAAAUGAAUAAAUAAAAACACCUUCCUGGGGAAAAAAGGAUGAAAGCCCAGACUGAAGGAGCACACCAUGUACGUGGGGAAACCAGCCCAGAACAAGCAAAACCAAAACAUGUUCUCACACAAUGAUUGAAAUGUAAAGAAAAAAAAGUCUCUGGACAGUCAGCCACAGAGAAUAUGUGUAUAAUAGAAAGAAAGUUAGAUUAUCCUCAAAGUGGUCAUCAGAAAGCCUUCUGCUAGAAGAAAAUGUAAGAUAAUAAAGAAAAAAAUCUGAGCAAAGGAUUUUGUACCCAACCAAGCUGACUUUCAAAGUGUAAGUUCCGCAAGUUCUCACCGAUGUGCAAAAACUUGAAGAACAGUGCUGCAAUAGCUCCAUUCUUAGGAAUCUACUAGAGCAAAAUGACUGGAGGGGCAUCAGUGAAAACUGGCGAGGUAUCGGGAUUCUGAGGGCAGAACCAAAUCCAUGGUCCCGGCCCCUCCCUGGCACCCGGCACAGGGUCUUCCACGUUACCAGCCCGGAUCAAGUGCUGAGAGUAUUCUAAUUAAGUGAAUUGCUCGCUACUCCCUGGGUGGGGAAAGAAUUCUUAGCUGGACUUCUCAGCACCUCGCAGGACAGACACAUCCUGCUCCGUAAGCUCCUGUACAGGCUUCCCGGGGCUGCAAAAACAAAGUACCGAAACCUGGGGGACCCCACAGAAACAGAUGGUCUCGCCGUUGCGGAUGCCGGAAGCCUGAGGUCCAGGUGAUGGCAGGGUGGAUCCCUUCCGGGGGAAUGUGAGGGCAGCAUGUGCCCCAGGCCUCUCUCCUUGGCUGGUAGGUGGCCAUCUUCUCCCUGUGUCUCUUCGCAUCAUCGUCCCUCUUUCUGUGUCUGUGUCCAAAUGUCCCCUUUUUCUCAGGACGCCAGUCAUAUUGGAUCGGGGCCCACCCUAACGGCUUCGUCUUAAUUAGUUACACUGGCAGUGACCCUAUUUCCAAAUAAGGCCACAUUCUGAGAUCCUGGGGAUUAGGACUCCAGCAUAUUUUUUGCAGGGCAGGGUGUGUGUGUGUGUGUGUGUAGGGGGGUUGCACAAUUACACCCACAACAGCCUCCAAACAGUUGUUGAUUGCAGUCACUACAUCAGCCGUGCAGGGAUAUAAUUAUUGCCUCCCAUAUUGGAAAUCCAGUCUAAUUCCCAAACAAUGCAUUUCCUUUUCCUGGAACAUGGGUCAUGUUGAGGGAAAAAGGGAAUCCUCACCAAAUCCCACACCCCCCACCCUCCCGCCGCCACACACACACACACACACACAUUGUGCAGGGGCUCAAGGAAUGGCUGGCAAAUAAAUGAAUGAAGUCUGUCAUGUUCAAACAGUGGUGACUGCACACCCACGGUCACUGAGGGGCUGAGAUGUGAGAAGCUUAUCAGGCUGUCGGGCCCUGAGAGUUGAGCAGCUGUGGCUCUGACACAAGGCCAGGCCUUGGGGCAGAUGAGAGGGACCCCAAGCCCGGGCCUGACGGAGGCGUCCCUUAGCCCAGCACGUCCUCAGCCUUGGGGAUCAUGAACCCCUUUGAGAACCGGAAGGGGGCAAGGGCCCUUCCGUGGAAACAGACAUGUAUGCACAAGACCCCCAGAAGGGUGCCUUCUCUGGCCAGGCAGUCACAGGCACCCUGGCCCCAUCUGUGGUCCCAGCUGGCGCCUGACUUCCGAAGGUAAGCUCUAUGUUAUUUCCAUGAUGAUACUUCGUCAUUGUACUAGGACCUGGGGAAGAAUCGGAGCAAAACAAUCAAUGACUUUGUCUAGUAAAAUAAUUUUAUUUUCUAUUUCAAAGUUGGGGAGAGAUUUGGUUUGUUUUCUGUUUUUUGGGUUUUUUUUGUUUGUUUGUUUAUUUGUUUUUGAAGCAAGCAAAUACUGUGAUGGCUCCUCAAAAAAUGAAACAUAAAAUUACCCAGCAACCCCACUUCUGGGUAAUACCCCCCAAAAUUGAAAGCAGAGUCAAUGGGGUAUUUGAGCAUCCAUACUGACAGCAUUAAUUAUUUGUAUUAUUAUUAUCAUUAUUAUUAUUAUUUGAGACAAGCUCUCACUCUGUUGCCCAGGCCCAAGUGCAGUGGUGUGGUCCUGGCUCAUUGCAG